rnacentral:tRNA from 1 species
AUCUUUCUAGUAUUAAAAUAGUACAAAUGACUUCCAAUCAUUUAGUCUUGGUUAAAUUCCAAGGAAAGAUA